rnacentral:rRNA from 1 species
UACGGAGGGUGCAAACGUUGCUCGGAAUCAUUGGGCGUAAAGCGCACGUAGGCGGUCUUUUAAGUCGGAUGUGAAAGCCCCAGGCUCAACCUGGGAAGUGCAUCGGAAACUGAAAGGCUAGGGUACGGAAGAGGGUCUCGGAAUUCCCGGUGUAGAGGUGAAAUUCGUAGAUAUCGGGAGGAACACCAAUGGCGAAGGCAGCUCGCUGGGACGGUACUGACGCUGAGGCGCGAAAGCGUGGGGAGCAAACAGG